UACGUAGGUGGCAAGCGUUGUCCGGAUUUAUUGGGCGUAAAGCGCCCGCAGGCGGCUUGAUAAGUUUCAGGUGAAAUCUCCCGGCUCAACCGGGAGGGUGCCUGGAAAACUAUCAGGCUUGAGUCAUGGAGAGGGAUGCGGAAUUCCCGGUGUAGUGGUGAAAUGCGUAGAUAUCGGGAGGAACACCUGUGGCGAAGGCGGCCCCCUGGUUGGAUACUGACGCUGAGACGCGAAAGCGUGGGGAGCAAACAGG
rnacentral:rRNA from 1 species